AGAGGAAGUAAAAGUCGUAACAAGGUUUCCGUAGGUGAACCUGCGGAAGGAUCAUUAGAGACGGGCCCGCGGUACCGGCACUCGCUUGCCGGUCUCGCGCUCGCCUCAUCCGACCCCGUGGCUGCGUGAGCUCGCCGACAAGUUUGCCGACCGCCCGCGCGCCGCGACCCCCGACCAAGCGUCGACCGAAAGAUGGUUACCGACGAGAGACCGUGCGGCCCCGUCGUGUGCUCGCGCACGGCGCCGCCGCAGAAGUCUCGUCGACAAAAAUUUUAUAUUUCACAAAAUAUAUAAACACCCGACCCCGAACGGCGGAUCACUUGGCUCGUGGAUCGAUGAAGACCGCAGCUAUCUGCGCGUCGUCGUGUAAUCCGCAGGUUAUACGAACAUCGACCAGU
rnacentral:rRNA from 1 species